rnacentral:rRNA from 1 species
AACGAACGCUGGCGGCAUGCCUAACACAUGCAAGUAGAACGAAGGCUUCGGCCUUAGUGGCGCACGGGUGCGUAACGCGUGGGAAUCUGCCCUUGGGUUCGGAAUAACGGAGAGAAAUCUCCGCUAAUACCGGUUGAUGUCGCGAGACCAAAGAUUUAUCGCCUGAGGAUGAGCCCGCGUUGGAUUAGCUUGUCGGUGGGGUAAAGGCCUACCAAGGCGAUGAUCCAUUGCUGGUCUGCGAGGAUGAACAGCCACACUGGGACUUCGACACGGCCCAGACUCCUGCUAGAGGCAUCUGUGGUGAAUAUUGGAUUAUGUGCGCUGGCUUGAUCAAUCAAAAACGCGUGAGUUAUGAAGGCCUUAGGUUUGUAAAGCUCUUUUACCCGUGUUGAUAAUAACAGUACCGGGAGAAUAAGCUCCGGCUAUCUCCGUGCCAGCAGCCGCAGUAA